rfam:Clostridiales bacterium KA00134 genomic scaffold Scaffold6, whole genome shotgun sequence.
GUAUUUAAGAAGAAGUCCGCUUCUCACCUUAUGACAAGGGUCUAUGAGGUUAUUUUAGAAAAGAUUUUUUAAGUGCGGGCUUUUUUGUGUCCGCAUUUUUUAUUUAUA